AAUUUAUUUGUUGUUGUCUUGUCAUACCUAGUUAUUUUUGCAAAUUAGUAAGUUUCAUUGAAGAAAUUGAGAAAAAGUGCUGUGUACAAGUUUGUAAAAGUGAAUCGUGUGGUGGUUGCGGCAUAUUAUUUCACAGAUUUCCCAAGAAUGAAGAUAAGAAAAAAAUAUGGCCAGCCAUCCAGAUGUUGUUCCGGUGUCACAAUAGAUCAUCAUCAUCCAGUUCAAUGUAAUGAAGAACCACACAUGAGUUCCAGUUGUGAAGGCAUUAGCUAAUUCAUAUUUAA